rnacentral:tRNA from 1 species
GUUUAAGUGGUUUAUGUUAGAAUGCUAAUUUGUGGUGUUAGUGGUGCAAUGUUUGGGUUAUUGCCUUAGACC